AGGUAAGAUAGCUAAGUGUUUAGCGUUGGGCUGUAAACUCUUUUACAAAGGUUAAAUUCCUUUUCUUAUCA
rnacentral:tRNA from 1 species